rnacentral:rRNA from 3 species
GGUUAGCGGCGGACGGGUGAGUAACGCGUGGGAAUAUGCCCUUCUCUACGGAAUAGUCUCGGGAAACUGGGGGUAAUACCGUAUACGCCCUUUGGGGGAAAGAUUUAUCGGAGAAGGAUUAGCCCGCGUUGGAUUAGGUAGUUGGUGGGGUAAUGGCCUACCAAGCCGACGAUCCAUAGCUGGUUUGAGAGGAUGAUCAGCCACACUGGGACUGAGACACGGCCCAGACUCCUACGGGAGGCAGCAGUGGGGAAUCUUAGACAAUGGGGGCAACCCUGAUCUAGCCAUGCCGCGUGAGUGAUGAAGGCCUUAGGGUUGUAAAGCUCUUUCAGCUGGGAAGAUAAUGACGGUACCAGCAGAAGAAGCCCCGGCUAACUCCGUGCCAGCAGCCGCGGUAAUACGGAGGGGGCUAGCGUUGUUCGGAAUUACUGGGCGUAAAGCGCACGUAGGCGGACCGGAAAGUCAGAGGUGAAAUCCCAGGGCUCAACCUUGGAACUGCCUUUGAAACUAUCGGUCUGGAGUUCGAGAGAGGUGAGUGGAAUUCCGAGUGUAGAGGUGAAAUUCGUAGAU